rnacentral:rRNA from 1 species
UGCCCUUCACUGGGCGUGGCGGGGAAACAGGACUUUUACUGUGAAAAAAUUAGAGUGCUCCAGGCAGGCCUAUGCUCGAAUACAUUAGCAUGGAAUAAUAGAAUAGGACGUGUGGUUCUAUUUUGUUGGUUUCUAGGACCGCCGUAA